rnacentral:rRNA from 1 species
GUGGGGAAUAUUGGGCAAUGGGGGAAACCCUGACCCAGCGACGCCGCGUGAGGGAAGAAGGCCUUAGGGUCGUAAACCUCUGUUGUGUGGGAAGAAGAGCGUGACGGUACCACACGAGGAAGUCCCGGCUAACUACGUGCCAGCAGCCGCGGUAAUACGUAGGGGACGAGCGUUGUCCGGAUUUACUGGGCGUAAAGGGCGCGUAGGCGGUCAUUUAAGUCAGCUGUGAAAUGGUUUGGCUUAACCGGAUCAUGCGGUUGAAACUGGAUGACUGGAGUGCUGGAGAGGCAAGUGGAAUUCCCAGUGUAGCGGUGAAAUGCGUAGAUAUUGGGAGGAACACCAGUGGCGAAGGCGCCUUUCUGGACUGUGUCUGACGCUGAGAUGCGAAAGCCAGGGUAGCGAACGGGAUUAGAAACCCUGGUAGUCC